rnacentral:lncRNA from 1 species
AUGGGAGUGAAGGCCAGCAUGAUUCUUGUUGUCAUACUGAGUUCAGCAGCAUCUGCAUUCGUCCUUAUUAUUGCAUUCUGCUGGUUCAAGAAGAGCAAAGGAAACAAAUUGAGGAUUGAACGGGCCAGUACCAAGGGACCCCAUAAACAGGCACAGCCUCAUGCAGCUCACAUCCAGCCCUGCUGCAAUCAAGGAGAAAAUAAAACUGGUGUGCCUGUAGCAGCAGAUAUAGAAGGAACUGUUGCAGUGGGACAUGCCACAAGACAACUGAAGGAGCUGAACCUGCAGCCUUGUGAAGCCAAGCCUGUGAGAAAGAUGAGCAUUUUGCAGUGUAAGACAGUGGACAAGGACAUGUUUUCUUCAGCUAGGAAAAGUGACAGUCACCAACAGCUAUGUGGAGCAACAUCUGCUGACUCUCUGGAACUUCCACAGCCAACUGUCCUGGGAUGCUCCAGCCAGAAGGAUGUUCCCCAGACUUCAGCUGGUUGCAACAAGGAAAGGAAGAAGUCUGAAAGGAUGCCCAAAUGUCAGAAUGAUGUCAGAGAGCAUGUUGCUGUGGUAGCAGCAGAGGUGUAAGAGAAGUGUUGUGAGGUGGUGGGCCGUUGACCAACCAAGCUUUGCCUGGCUUGCAGUCAACAUGAAGCUGAGUUUUUUGUCUCUGUAGUCACGAUAAAACAUACACAUAUUAGCAUGGGGAACCAGAUGGCCACAUGUACAAGUGUUUACCUGGAUCUGCAGCGAACUGGGAGACUCUGGCCAUGUGUAUGAUGAUGACCUUUCUUACCUUCCAAAACAGGGUGUGUGUAUCCAAUCUGCCUGUUGAGAAGAGUCCUUCUGACACCUCUAAAAUUCUCUCCAAGAGUUUUUUAGGGGAGUGCUAGCUGGUUAGCUAGGUCAGCUUUGAGAUUACAUUCAAAAGCAUUCAAGGAUUUACCUAAACAAUUCGAUAGUGCAGAUGAUCAGAUUUCUGAUACUUUUAUAUAUUAGCAUUGAGGUAGUCUUAGUGUCUAGAGCAAUGCUGAUUGGUAUAUGUGCAUAUAAACAAAUACAUAAGAAUUUUCCCAUUUCUUCAAUGAAGCUUUUAGUUUCAUUCAAAGAACCUCACUAUGUGCAUAACUAUUUUCCUUUUCCUGAGAAAAACCCCUUGUAUUCAACUUCCAUCUCAUUGUGAUUUGAUUAAAUGCUUCCAUUCCUUCC